GACGAACGCUGGCGGCGUGCUUAACACAUGCAAGUCGAACGGAAAGGCCCUGCUUUUGUGGGGUGCUCGAGUGGCGAACGGGUGAGUAACACGUGAGUAACCUGCCCUUGACUUUGGGAUAACUUCAGGAAACUGGGGCUAAUACCGGAUAGGAGCUCCUGCUGCAUGGUGGGGGUUGGAUAGUUUCGGCGGUUGGGGAUGGACUCGCGGGUUAUCAGCUUGUUGGUGGGGUAGUGGCUUACCAAGGCUUUGACGGGUAGCCGGCCUGAGAGGGUGACCGGCCACAUUGGGACUGGGAUACGGCCCAGACUCCUACGGGAGGCAGCAGUGGGGAAUAUUGCACAAUGGGCGGAAGCCUGAUGCAGCAACGCCGCGUGCGGGAUGACGGCCUUCGGGUUGUAAACCGCUUUCGCCUGUGACGAAGCGUGAGUGACGGUAAUGGGUAAAGAAGCACCGGCUAACUACGUG
rnacentral:rRNA from 1 species